UACGUAUGGUGCAAGCGUUAUCCGGAUUCACUGGGUUUAAAGGGUGCGUAGGUGGGCUUGUAAGUCAGUGGUGAAAUCUCCGGGCUUAACCCGGAAACUGCCAUUGAUACUAUAGGUCUUGAAUUAUCUGGAGGUCAGCGGAAUAUGUCAUGUAGCGGUGAAAUGCUUAGAUAUGACAUAGAACACCAAUUGCGAAGGCAGCUGGCUACAGGUUGAUUGACACUGAGGCACGAAAGCGUGGGGAUCAAACAGG
rnacentral:rRNA from 1 species